GGGGAAUUUUCCGCAAUGGGCGAAAGCCUGACGGAGCAAUACCGCGUGAGGGAGGAAGGCUCUUGGGUUGUAAACCUCUUUUCUCAGGGAAUAAGAACUGAAGGUACCUGAGGAAUCAGCAUCGGCUAACUCCGUGCCAGCAGCCGCGGUAAUACGGAGGAUGCAAGCGUUAUCCGGAAUGAUUGGGCGUAAAGCGUCCGCAGGUGGUUUAUCAAGUCUGCUGUCAAAGAGUUUGGCUCAACCAAAUAAAGGCAGUGGAAACUGACAGACUGGAGUGCGGUAAGGGCAGAGGGAAUUCCUGGUGUAGCGGUGAAAUGCGUAGAGAUCAGGAAGAACACCGGUGGCGAAAGCGCUCUGCUGGGCCGUAACUGACACUGAGGGACGAAAGCUAGGGGAGCGAAAGGGAUUANAUACCCCUGUAGUC
rnacentral:rRNA from 1 species